GGAUUAGAUACCCUGGUAGUCCACGCCCUAAACGAUGUCAACUGGUUGUUGGGAGGGUUUCUUCUCAGUAACGUAGCUAACGCGUGAAGUUGACCGCCUGGGGAGUACGGCCGCAAGGUUGAAACUCAAAGGAAUUGACGGGGACCCGCACAAGCGGUGGAUGAUGUGGUUUAAUUCGAUGCAACGCGAAAAACCUUACCUACCCUUGACAUGCCAGGAAUCUUGCAGAGAUGUGAGAGUGCUCGAAAGAGAACCUGGACACAGGUGCUGCAUGGCCGUCGUCAGCUCGUGUCGUGAGAUGUUGGGUUAAGUCCCGCAACGAGCGCAACCCUUGUCAUUAGUUGCUACGAAAGGGCACUCUAAUGAGACUGCCGGUGACAAACCGGAGGAAGGUGGGGAUGACGUCAGGUCAUCAUGGCCCUUAUGGGUAGGGCUACACACGUCAUACAAUGGCCGGGACAGAGGGCUGCCAACCCGCGAGGGGGAGCUAAUCCCAGAAACCCGGUCGUAGUCCGGAUCGCAGUCUGCAACUCGACUGCGUGAAGUCGGAAUCGCUAGUAAUCGCGGAUCAGCUUGCCGCGGUGAAUACGUUCCCGGGUCUUGUACACACCGCCCGUCACACCAUGGGAGCGGGUUCUGCCAGAAGUAGUUAGCCUAACCGCAAGGAGGGCGAUUACCACGGCAGGGUUCGUGACUGGGGUG
rnacentral:rRNA from 1 species